rnacentral:rRNA from 1 species
GUGGGGAAUAUUGCGCAAUGGGGGCAACCCUGACGCAGCCAUGCCGCGUGUGUGAAGAAGGCCUUCGGGUUGUAAAGCACUUUAAGUGGGGAGAAAAGGGUAGCUGUUAAUAGCGGUUACCUGUGAUGUUACCCACAGAAUAAGCACCGGCUAACUCCGUGCCAGCAGCCGCGGUAAUACGGAGGGUGCGAGCGUUAAUCGGAAUUACUGGGCGUAAAGCGCGCGUAGGCGGUUUGUUAAGUCAGCUGUGAAAGCCCCGGGCUCAACCUGGGAACUGCAGUUGAUACUGGCCGACUAGAGUACGAGAGAGGGAGGUAGAAUUCCAUGUGUAGCGGUGAAAUGCGUAGAUAUAUGGAGGAAUACCGGUGGCGAAGGCGGCCUCCUGGCUCGAUACUGACGCUGAGGUGCGAAAGCGUGGGGAUCAAACAGGAUUAGAUACCCUGGUAGUCC